AAGAGAAAGAGAAAGAGAAAGUUGAAAACGUGAAAUAACUUGAAAUUGUUAAGUGUUGAAGUGUUGUUGGUGUUUGGUUGUGGUUGUGGCAUCGAGAACCUGUUCAUUUUUUUCUUUGAAAUUUUUUGAUUUUUGUUC
rnacentral:rRNA from 1 species